CGAAUCUUCAAUUGUUUAAUACACUGACGUUGCCACAGAUUUUAUUAUCAGCAGAUGGCCGAUGAAAAGAAAUGAAUUUGUUGAAUAUGUUCGAUCGACCGAUCCCUCAUUUCUUGGAAAAGUACCUUGGUGUACCAGAUGCCGCAGUUUACGGUUGGCCGGGUCUCGAAAAUCCCUCAUUGAUGAUCGUUUUGUACGCCCUUUACGCUGUCCUAUUGAGCUAUGGAAGGCGGUGGAUGAAACCUGCAGCUCCUUUCAGACUCAGAGGUGUUUUAGUGGCCUACAAUAUUCUGCAGAUAUUUUUAAGCGGGUACAUUCUUGCCGAAGUUGUCGCUUGUGCAUCGACUGGAUAUUACAGCCUGUCUUGCGGUCCCGUGCCAAUCAAAAACCCAACGACAACCAGACUCGCGAGAGCUAUUUGGCUAUUUUAUUUGAGCAAGAUGGUCGAUCUGAUGGAUACAGUAUUUUUCGUUCUACGCAAGAAAGAUGAACAGAUCACGUUUCUCCACGUUUAUCAUCACGUGGCUAUGAUCAUCGCUUGGUACUUGGGGGCAUUGUACACACCUGGAGGCCAAGGCAUCAAUCGGUCAGCAAACCAAUUAGCCAAUCAGUUUACGCCUGGCUCAGCGUGGUCAUUAACGCUGGAAUACACGUUCUGAUGUAUCUUUACUAUAUGGUAUCAGCCCUGGGGUCGUCUUACCGAAAAUACUUGUGGUGGAAAAAAUAUUUAACUCAGAUCCAAUUGGUACAAUUUAUCGUUGUCGGAGCGCAGGUUACUUACCUCAUUCACAAGGGGUGCGCAAGACCGAUGUGGUUGGCUCACGUUGCGUUUGUCUACAACGUUACUCUCAUUUUCUUAUUCCUGGGAUUCUAUCGUGAGGCUUACGGAGAAAAAAAUGAGAAAACCAAAAUUCUUGACCCACGUUCAGCUGAGCAAAGUGAAUUAAAUAAAAAAAAAUCGUGAGUUA